rnacentral:ncRNA from 1 species
UACCUGGUUGAUCCUGCCAGUAGUCAUAUUCUUGUCUCAAAGAUUAAGCCAUGCAUGUCUAAGUAUGAACUAAUUCAGACUGUGAAACUGCGGAUGGCUCAUUAAAUCAGUUAUAGUUUCUUUGAUGGUACCCUACUACUCGGAUAACCGUAGUAAUUCUAGAGCUAAUACAUGCACCAAGUCCCGAAUCUUUGGAAGGGAUGCAUUUAUUAGAUAAAAGGUCAGCGCGGGCUUGCCCGCUUCUCCGAUGAAUCACGAUCAACCCUCCAAAAGUGGUGACACACUACCUCCUCCAAACACAGACCGAGCGAGAGGCAUGCAACAACUCAUCACGAGCAAAGAUUCAUCGGUCCCUGCUGACAAUGAUCCUACCGCAGGUUCACCUACGGUAACCUUGUUACGACUUCUCCUUCCUCUAAAUGAUAAGGUUCAGUG